rnacentral:rRNA from 1 species
UACGUAGGUCCCGAGCGUUGUCCGGAUUUAUUGGGCGUAAAGCGAGCGCAGGUGGUUUAAUAAGUCUGGUGUAAAAGGCAGUGGCUCAACCAUUGUAUGCAUUGGAAACUGGUAGACUUGAGUGCAGGAGAGGAGAGUGGAAUUCCAUGUGUAGCGGUGAAAUGCGUAGAUAUAUGGAGGAACACCGGUGGCGAAAGCGGCUCUCUGGCCUGUAACUGACACUGAGGCUCGAAAGCGUGGGUAGCAAACAGG